GACAGAGGGUGCAAACGUUUGUUCGGAAUUACUGGGCGUAAAGCGCGUGUAGGCGGUCUCGCAAGUCGGAUGUGAAAGCCCAGGGCUCAACCCUGGAAGUGCACUCGAUACUGCGAGGCUAGAGUCCCGGAGAGGAUGGUGGAACUCUCGGUGUAGAGGUGAAAUUCGUAGAUAUCGAGAAGAACACCGGUGGCGAAGGCGGCCAUCUGGACGGUGACUGACGCUGAGACGCGAAAGCGUGGGGAGCAAACAGGAUUAAGAUACCCCGAGA
rnacentral:rRNA from 1 species